GCCAAAGUAGCUCAGUGGUAGAGCAACGGUUUCGUAAACCGUAGGUCAAGGGUUCAAUCCCCUUCUUUGGCUCCA
rnacentral:tRNA from 1 species